GCCAUGACGGACGUCGGCAAGACCAGUUGAAUCGAUGGAGGAAUUUUCGAUGCCAAUGAUUGAAUUCGAUUGUCAGCCUGGCUGGCCACCUUUCAGAAGAUGGCGGCAUUAGAAAACUGAGAAGAUGUCUGUUGGGUAUAAAAUACCCCCCAACCGAAGUUCAUGACAGGAGUGACCCUCAGGGGAUCCAACCGACUUUCGACC
rnacentral:lncRNA from 1 species